GGGCAGAACUGAUCUUAUUUAUUCAGAAUUGACUAGAUGUUGUAAAGCGGGGGUUACAUACCAGCACAGAGAGGAAUUUUUGACACCAGGAGUAAUAAAAGGAAAGUUGUUUCAGAGGUGGAACAAAAUAUUUGAAUUAAACAUUUUCUAAAUUAUUAUAUUAUAUUUUACAGUUUAUUUAAUGAUUUACUAUUUUUAAUCAUACAGAAUAAGACUAGGAGCAAUAACUCUGAACGUAAAUAGGAUCAGUUUUAGUUUCAUGUUUAUGUGAUCUGUACUUGUUGUCCAGUAGAUGGGGGUGAAAAUUAACUUUCAGUUUCGUUUCUGUCAUGUGCGCUAUCGCAAGCUUAUCAGUUGCCACAGCUGUAGUGAUAUGUUCACAUCUUGUUUCCAUGUAAUUUCAAACGCAGGACAUUCUCAUACUUAUUCUGUGUACAUGCACCAAUGUGACGAGUGGGGCAAGGCCAAGUGCCAUGGGAACGGAGCGAGGAAAUAUUGUUACAAACAAUAUUUUAGACCUACUAAGCAUUGAUUAUGGAACUUUAUUUUAGUACAGAUAAGUGUGGUAAUUUAUUUUUUUUUUUUUUUUGCUUUCACAGGGAUGGGAACAUUCAGUAAUAAUCUGUAAUGUUCUAGUGCAAAGACAGACGCCUUUGGUGCGAGAGACCGGGGUUCGAAUCCACUGUGAGACACCAAUGUGUCCCUGAGCAAGACACUUAACCCCUAGUUGCUUAAGAGGCGUGCGUCCUCUGAGAUAUAUAGCAAUUGAUUUACACAAGCUUCAGUCUGGAUCCAGAACACCUGAGAAGAGAUGAUGCCAACCCCUCAGAGGACCCCAGAUGAUGCCAACCCUGAAACAACAUAUAGAACUACUAAUUUUGCUAUAAGUUUGAUUACAUCAUAUAAUAAUUGCUGUUAAUUAUAGUGUGCAUCGUCUGUUCGAUUAUGUCUUUAUUUUUCCCCCAGACAUUUCUGCUAUAUGUACAUUAACUGACAGUUACUACUGAUAAGCUCUUGUCACAGUGUCAUCUGUGCUAUGUUUACUGUUGUGUGCGCGGUGAGUGGACGUGUCUGAAUAGCGUAACAAACUAUCAGUUCCAGCUGUGGCUCAUUUGCUUCCCUAUAUCAUGUAUACUUUUGUGUGGCUGCCCAUUCUCAUACCAGUGCUACCGAGAUCACCAGCCUGCGGUGAGCGCUGCUGUUGCUUGUUUGUACCUUGUGUUUGACUUUGUUCCUAUAAAUUGUAUGUUAAGCAUCUGCUCUUGAAUCCCAUCUCAUGAAUUGUGACACAACUACUAAAUAUUGUAGAAAAUUUGUUUCCUGUAAAGUUGCUUUGCAACGAGUUGUGUUGUGAAAAGCACUAUAGAAAUAAACUUGUAUUUAAUCUAAUUAAUGGCAUUUUGUAGAUAUAACUCUGAAGGAGAUAUUCUUGAGGUCAGGUCUGAUCAGACUGUUGAUGAAUCAAAUCAAAAGGUCUUAAUAUGGUCAAGAAACCUACUUGUUGAUUUAUUAGAGAUUUGGUCGUGUUGUGAAUUCAGAAACAAAUGUUUGUUUGUCAUUGCAGCCUAGACAAUGAACUUGCAAUCUUCUACAACUCUCUUCAUCUGCUUCAUCGUGCAAUGUAAAAAUUAGUUCAAUAAGUCAGAAAUAUGAGCAACUCAUUCAAAAGAGCAUGGUGCUCGUAGUCUCUAGGGCUGUAUUCCAUCUUUUUGGUUUAAUAAGCAUGUAAAUAGCUUGUAUCUUUCGUCAGUAUCUUUGUACUCUCUUCUGAACCCAUCUCACAUCUGCUUUCAUGAGAUAUGCACACCCUAUAAACUGCUCCCAGCCAACCGCCGAGUCUCUCCUACAAGCACUUAAAGAGAGUGUCUUCAACAAAUCUGAAGUGUGGCCAGUUAUUAAUCCAAGGACACCAACAAAUAUUAAUUUAGAUUUCAUUAUGUAUGCAGAUUUAGAUGUGGUGAGUAAAUAUACAUAUAUUCUAAUCAAAGUAUGCAAUCACAUUAUAUGUUCAUGUAUGUAACUGGCUAAACAGAAAUUGUGGAUGUUUUUCCCUUUCAGGAUGAAAAAGCUCAAAUCUUGGAUACGUUUAUCUGGCUGGGGGUGGAUGUGAAACAUGAAUGUGUUACAUGUCCACAGCAUAUAAUGUAAAAAAAAACUUCAUCAGCUCACUUUUUUCCAUAAGCAAUGAAAAAACAUGAAAACUUUAAUUUCUCCCCUUGAUUCAGUUGCUGGGUUCACGCAUGCACAAUGGUCUUUGGUCCGAGUCGAACUGUUUCCUCGGUUCAGUGACUGUUUAAAGACUUGGAGCUCUGAAUGAAUUUGCAAAAAACAGCAUCAUAGGAUCAGAUGGGCUGGUAUUUAGCUAACCUCGAGUUAGAGUGAAUGUAAAGUCAGAUCUGUGCAAGCCUUUUCAGAUACUUCAGUCCAAUUUGGUGAACACUCCAAUUUUUUUGUUCACUAAAAAGAACCCAUGCAAAAGAAUGAUUCUUUCACAAACUGUAUAUCUGACACUUUAGAUUAAUGUUGUAAAAAAUGUUCAGUUUAUUGCACAGACCAAACUUCACUUCGUAAGACCUCCGAAUAGCAUCAGGAGCCACACAUUUUUAUUUGGUCUUGCCAGUAUAUACACUGUUUGACGAUAGCCAUUGACAUUGACUGGCAUUUUAAGAAUCACCACAAAAUGUAAAAAAAGUAAAUCGUUUCUACUGUUCGACUGAAUAAAAAAAGUCACCUACAUUUUUGAUGUCCUGAGGGUGAGUAGAUUAAUGGUGCAGUAGGAGAUGUCGGAAAAUGCUAACUUUAGCCUGAUAGCACUGAAAGCCACGCCACCGAAUGCAUUUACUCACACAGAUCAGAAUAGAAUAUCAAAGACGGAUGUUACUACAAUCGGCUACAUUAGAUGUUCCCAAUUCUAGUCCAUGUUCUGGUGUUUUGUAGACUUCAAUGGAUUUCCCCUGCUCAGGGAGUAGGGAGGAAUGAACACUGUCUAGGGAUCAUAUUGAUCAGAACACAGUAUUUGCACCUAGCUCUCUUCUAAUGAGUUGGCUAUCGGAAACGUGUAUGUUAACUAAAAGAGACAAGCAAAAUUACAGAACAGGGAACGUGAGGACUGACAUUAGGAACCCCUGGGCUACAUUAUGUGUCAUUCACCAGCAAGAAAACUUUACAAGUAUUACAAUACCAGGAAGGAAGAUCGGGUUGUUGAUGUUUUUCUGCCAUUAUCGUUCUGUCGGCACAUGCACAGUGCAUGAAUGCGCUGAUGACCUAUUCUCUUUGUUCGAACAAAGUGCACAGAGGUAUGCAGAUACCACGCUGCUGUUCCGUCCACAAAAAGUUAGUGGAAGGGAUUUCAACCUCCGGAGAAAGAUUGCUUCAAAUCUUCCCUAUUUGUUCAUACUGCUUGUCAAGACGAUGGGGAAGUGAGCCUUAGGAAAAGAUCGCUACGGAGUCCACAUCCCACCGUUAGGGAGGUGACAUGCGGAGAUACUGAUAUGGACUGACCCAGGGGGCAGUACUACAUAUGGAAUGGGUCUCUGAGGCAGGUACUACCUUAGAGUAGGGAUGGAACAGCUGCCAGAAGAGACUGACAGAGCGGGUCCAGGGUACGCCAACCGCGGAACUCUAUUGGGAGAAGAAAGGCACUCACAUCCCCAUGUUAGGGGGAAUGGUGCAGCAAGCGUGACACCCAGCCAGCACUUCCCGCCAAUUACCUGUUACCCAACACACAAGAAGAAACUGGCUCUAGACGAAGGUGGUAAAACCUCAUGAAAGUAUUAGGUGUUUCCCAGCCCACAACUUGACAGAUGUCUGCCAGAGAGGUGCAUGUGGAGUGGGCCCUCACCCCCUGGGGGCACGGAUCGCCUUGGGAAUGGUACGUCAAGGCGAUGGCAUCCACUAACACGAAGUCUCGGUUAUUACUGCUGUGGCUUUGUUUGGAAACUGUAGAAAAUUACUUGUAUUCAAUAUAAUAUAUAUUAGUGAACUGAGAUUGAGAGUUCUAGGAUUGGUGCUAAACUGUGUAUGUAUUUGUCCAGGUGAACUGUAUGUAACGGGGACCAAAUGUCUCCACAAAGACAGGAAAACCUGAAAUGUUCGACCUUGUGGGGAGAUUUUUUGAUGAAUAAACGAAAUCAUCCAAAAAGGUGUCUGGUUGUUUUUUGUUUAUUUAUUUAUUUAUUUAUUUAUUAAAUGUAACUAACUGUCGUUACGAGAGAGUAAUUCAGUAAUUUAUACAAAUAACUCAUACAUGCAGAGCCGACCCAACUUCAUAAGAGAUAUAAGCGGUUGCAUAGGGCCCCAUGUCAGAGUUUAAAUAUUUGUCAGGGUUCAGACUGUAAUGCUUGAUUAUAAUAACUUUUAAAAAGUUUCAGUCGCAUGUGUUAAUGUUUGAAAAUCAAGAGGCAGCACUAUAAAUCUGAUGUAGAUUGGUUGGAAAAGAGAAUAGAAGUGACCAACAUUAAGGUAUGUGAUGUAUUUUGAAAAUUUAUUGUUGAAAUGGCUUCUGUUGCAUCAUGCUGCGAGCACUUUGAAGACGCGCUGUGCCAGUGUAACAACCGUUA